rnacentral:rRNA from 1 species
UUGAGCUUGAUCCUGGCUCAGGAUGAACGCUAGCGGCAGGCUUAACACAUGCAAGUCGAGGGGUAUAGUUCUUCGGAAUUAGAGACCGGCGCACGGGUGCGUAACGCGUAUGCAAUCUACCUUUUACAGAGGGAUAGCCCAGAGAAAUUUGGAUUAAUACCUCAUAGUAUAAUGACUUGGCAUCAAGACAUUAUUAAAGUCACAACGGUAAAAGAUGAGCAUGCGUCCCAUUAGCUAGUUGGUAAGGUAACGGCUUACCAAGGCUACGAUGGGUAGGGGUCCUGAGAGGGAGAUCCCCCACACUGGUACUGAGACACGGACCAGACUCCUACGGGAGGCAGCAGUGAGGAAUAUUGGACAAUGGGCGCAAGCCUGAUCCAGCCAUGCCGCGUGCAGGAUGACGGUCCUAUGGAUUGUAAACUGCUUUUAUACGAGAAGAAACACUACUUUUGUGAAGUAGCUUGACGGUAUCGUAAGAAUAAGGAUCCGGCUA